AUGAACGCUGGCGGCGUGCCUAAUACAUGCAAGUCGAGCGAACAGACGAGGAGCUUGCUCCUCUGACGUUAGCGGCGGACGGGUGAGUAACACGUGGAUAACCUACCUAUAAGACUGGGAUAACUUCGGGAAACCGGAGCUAAUACCGGAUAAUAUAUUGAACCGCAUGGUUCAAUAGUGAAAGACGGUUUUGCUGUCACUUAUAGAUGGAUCCGCGCCGCAUUAGCUAGUUGGUAAGGUAACGGCUUACCAAGGCAACGAUGCGUAGCCGACCUGAGAGGGUGAUCGGCCACACUGGAACGGAGACACGGUCCAGACUCCUACGGGAGGCAGCAGUAGGGAAUCUUCCGCAAUGGGCGAAAGCCUGACGGAGCAACGCCGCGUGAGUGAUGAAGGUCUUCGGAUCGUAAAACUCUGUUAUUAGGGAAGAACAAAUGUGUAAGUAACUAUGCACGUCUUGACGGUACCUAAUCAGGAAGCCACGGCUAACUACGUG
rnacentral:rRNA from 1 species